rnacentral:misc_RNA from 1 species
CUAAAAUGGUUCACUCUGCUUUAGAUACAGAGAAUAAAAUUCGAGGCGCUGAAACUUGGCCUGCAGUGGAAGUGCACGCUGUUGAGCAUCAGGCCAGCAUAGAUGCAUUUUCGAGUGUAAGAUUUGAGUUGCCAGCGGAGACGAUUGCUGCAGGGGAUGAGGUUGCUGCAAGUCUUGCACCCGUGGCAAGUGAGCAGCAGGAUCAGAAGCCAGAGAAACAGGAGGAACCUGAGGCACCAAAAGAUCCGUUUGCGGCAAGUGAGUCAAUAAACAAGCAGGAAGAUUUGGUGGGUGAAUUUAAGAAGGAUAAGAAUCAGUCCUCAGAUUUAUCAGUUGCAUUGGCGGGGCUGGAAGUGACUACCUUGCCACCUGCAGAGGCAACGCAAGCUACACAUAUAAGCGUGGAGGGAUUUGAAGGGGAUUAUGGUGGCAUUGAGUUCAGCGGCGAGCAGGCUUCUUUGGGAGAAACUUUUGAAGGGUUCAGUGAUGCUUGGGGUGGAGGAUUGGAUGCUUCCGAGUUUGUUGGACCAAAGAAAAUCCCAAAACAACAAGGUCUUGGUGGACUUGAAUUGCUGCAAACUGGGGAUAGUGGUGAUAAGGCUGCUGCAGCAAAGGCUGCAAGUGGAGCAGCAGGUACUCCUCUUGAGAAUCAACUGGUUCAGAAAACCGAAAUGAAAGGUCCUGAAAUGUACAUUGUUGAAGAAAUUAGUGCAGAGUUUAGGGAGUCAUUGCUUGCUAGAGUUGGAUUAAUGGGUGUUGUUUACUUGAGAACAUUGCCGCCAAAAACUGCUGGUGACAAAGAAACUGAGUUUUCAUUUCGGGUUGAUAACACAAGUGCAGUUAAAAGAUUCGUUAUGCAGAGUUCAAAGGUUAGCAGCCUGGGUAAUGGCAUGUUUCAUGUGAGGACUGCACCAUCCGAAGAGCCUUUACCAAUAUUGAAGUAUAGUCUGCUGCCUAGAUUAACCCCAUUGCCAUUGAGAGUUCGUCUCAUACAGCGUCGUAGUGGGACUUUACUUUCGGUGAUGAUUCAGUAUGCUUCAAACCCAGACUUGCAAGUGCCACUUAGUGAUGUAACAUUUAUUUUGAAAUUACCAGUUGACCCAACAUUGCUGAAAGUUUCUCCUAAAGCUGUGUUGAAUAGGGCUGAGAGAGAAUUAAAAUGG